CCCUACGGGGGGCAGCAGUAGGGAAUUUUCGGCAAUGGGGGGAACCCUGACCGAGCAACGCCGCGUGAACGAAGAAGUUAUUCGUAAUGUAAAGUUCUUUUAUCAGGGAAGAAAGAGGAAUUUGACGGUACCUGAGGAAUAAGCUCCGGCUAACUACGUGCCAGCAGCCGCGGUAAUACGUAGGGAGCGAGCGUUGUCCGGAAUUACUGGGCGUAAAGGGCGCGUAGGCGGGAACUUAAGUUAGAUGUGAAAACUCCGGGCUUAACCUGGAGACUGCAUUUAAAACUGGGUUUCUUGAGGGCAGG
rnacentral:rRNA from 1 species